GGGGCGAUAUUUUACUUUUAAACCCAUAAGAAAAUAGUGAAAAAUACUGAUUUUUGUAUUUGACACAUUGCAGUUGGGAUAUUCAAAUCCACGAGUGAAAGAGAGAACAUAUUAAACUUUGGGUAACUAGUUGAAUAUCACCCUCAGUUAAUUCAAGUAAGGUUCCGUGGCUUCAUGAGUAUACUUUCAAUUGGUAUGCGUCCCCAGACCCUCUCUUAUCCAUCAAAACAUAAUAAUAUCUGGAAUACUAUAUCCAGGACUUAAGAAGUCGAAAACAAUCUUCUAUAUCAUCAGAUCAGUGAGACGAGGGGCGGGGCCAGUUGCCCUGAUACAACCCUACUCUCAUGAAGGCAUUU